ensembl:lncRNA
CGGACCCUUCUGAUUGGACAGGCGGACUGUCUGUCAACAGGAAAUGAGGACUCGCUCGCUUGCUAGACCUUCAUUCCGCGCGAAAAUACGGCGAAAGAAAGAAUGUUUGUCGUCAAAAGUUGUUGGCGAACCAGCCGAUUUUUUGCAGUGGUUGUGGACAGAUACUUGGAAAAAGUCUGGAGUCUUUGGCUCAACCCACCAAUGGACCAACUUCAGUAUCACAGAAUGCUCCAUCCAACUCAACCCCAAGAUUUAAAACCUUUCUGGAAUACCGGAAGUAAAAAGGAGAGGAAAGGCAAAAGUUUUCCUUUGGCAAAAUGCAGGACAAGAAAAAGGAAAAGAGGAAAGUGCAGCCAUGUGAACCUGUGCAUGAAAGCAGUGCAAUACAGAGGAUAUCCGUCCAAGUACCUCCGGAUGUCCUGGAAUGGCGAGAACAUAUUACAGCAACUACACAGACCUGUAUGCGCCUAUCGUCAGUGAUGACGACGAAGAUCUAACUGUCAAACAAAAUAAUGAGGCAUCUCCUAGAACCAAUGCACACAAGUGCACCUGAAAUAAUUGCAAAUUUGGCGCUUGCCAUUGACCACAGCAAAGUCAGCAGAUUCCACGUGUCCAGAUCUAAUGUAUGGGAUGGUGCUGUCAGAGGUUUUCAGCGUUGCACGUACUCUGAGGAGAAUGACAUGUUUGUGAAGUUUACCGAUGACGCUGGCUCCCAUGAAGAAGGCCUAGACACCGGCGGGCCGAGGCGGGAAUUCCUCACGCUUCAGAUGAAUGAUCUGAUCUUUGACGGACCUCCAGAAAGCCGUUACCUGGUGUACAACUCUACAGCAUCCGUGUGUGUUGGCCCCACUCUUGUGCCACUCUCAGACAAACCUUACAGCUGCCGACAUGGAAAGCCUGUUCACACCACUCCUCAGUCCAGCAGAAAGUAAUAGUCAGCAGAAAGAAGGCAAAGCUCUUGGAUUUUGGGCAGAUUUUCUUCUUGAUUGGGAAGGUUGCUGCUAUUCCUUUCACCACCA